UACGGGGGGGGGCAAGCGUUGUUCGGAAUUACUGGGCGUAAAGGGCUCGUAGGUGGCCAACUAAGUCAGACGUGAAAAUCCCUCGGCUUAACCGGGGAACUGCGUCUGAUACUGGAUGGCUUGAGUUCGGGAGAGGGAUGCGGAAUUCUUGGUGUAGCGGUGAAAUGCGUAGAUAUCAAGAGGAACACCUGAGGUGAAGACGGGUUGCUAGGCUGACACUGACGCUGAGGCGCGAAAGCCAGGGGAGCAAACGGG
rnacentral:rRNA from 1 species